CCUACCCCGCUCACUGCCCCUCAGGCUUAAAAAAACGCCUUUUCGUUGUCACCACUAGAUCGAUAUGGCUAGUUUUCUAUCGCUAUUUCUAGCUUGAAUUAAGGCAAGGCUUCGAAGCCCCUCUCUUCUCUCUGUAACUAGAGAGGUAGGCAAACCUGAGUUUAGAGCCACCUCGAUUCGGGAUGUCGGAACACCAACCGAAUCCUAAACUGACUUCGGAACAGGUUCGAGAGCUUAGAUCGAAACCCUUUCCUAUCUAGUGUCAGCUGAUCCUUCAGCGUCUGCACCAACAAAAUCGGAAGCUUAAUUCGAAAGACGAGAGUAGGCUCGAGGGGGAUCAAAAGACUGAUUGAUUCUCGGUCCCCUAAAAUUAUAAAGCUGGUUAGACUGCUAUGUAUGCCUAUGGAAAGAAAAGUCACGAAAAGCGAUCCAUAUGAUCAUAAUAAAGAAAGGCUUGCCUAUACGUCUUUUAAAACAAGAAUGUUGCUGGCUCAGGAUCCCAAGCGCAAAAGCUUUCUCUCUCCCAAUCAACGAUGAUCUCAGUAGCGCGAACUAUAGUAACAAGGCUCUCGCCAACCUAGUGGAGUAAGUGGAGGACGUUGAUAGACGAUUUGGUCUACUACCUCGGCUUGAUCUAUUGGGAAUGGAAUUCUUUUUUCGUCUUUCACGGAUUAGCCUUUCGAGUCCCUCCUAUCGUAAGCAAGUCUUGAAGGUCGACCGAUAACGAGAGGAGAUUGAUCAAGAGAGUUGCAAAGAAAUGAUGAACUAAAGUAAAGGAGCCAAAGAGCAGUAGCGCGCCGAUUCCGAACAGGCGACCCUAUACCGAAGUCUCCACCUCGCCUAUGGAUUGAACCUCUUCUCUUUGGCUUACGAUGGUAUGAGUGAGUGUAGUGGUGCGAGCAUCACUCUUAAAUGGAAUAUUCUCAAAAUAAUGAAGCUAGAGAAUUGCGUAGAUAGUGGUGAACUCUUCUUCUAGCAGCCCUUUCUCCUCUACCGAAGGAAGGAACUCGGCUUGGAAGCAAGUCGGUCAAUCUCGUAAGUAGACUUUCCUUGACCUGUACAGCUAGUAGGCGGAUAAAUUCACUCGUUAAAUCAAAAAAGAGCGUAAUAUCGAGGGAAGGACCAGUCCCCGACUAACUAAUAAAUAGGGAUUGAGGCAAGGGAAGUUGCUCUUACGAACCCUGUAGUCUAAAACGAAGAGAUUCUUUCUUUAUGCUGUUACCUGAAGUUCAAGGAUGAAAGGGGAAGCGAAAACAGGCCUGUGUUCAGCAUAUAGCUAGCCUUCUUCUCUUAUCUAAUUCUUGCUCCUUCCCCUGUCUACUAUUCGUGGAGCUGAUCCGUCUCAAUCAAACUAUCUAAAUUAAUUAGGAAAUUCUUUUGAAACCAAUUCACAAAAAGUGGGAUAAGAUGGCCUGCGUCCUAAUACAAAAUAGUAGAGGUUUCCUAGGUUCGACACAAGCAAAUCUAAAAGACGUAUAGGAAUGUCCAUCAAUAAACCUUAUACGCUUGCUUUACGCGAGCAAUGAGGAUGCGCCUUACUAAGGCUUUAGGCUUGAGCUCUUGGAGUUGCUUGUUGGGAGUCUGCUCUUUCCCAUGCUUGUCUUUGUUAGCGAUCGAACCAUCUCGAAAGCACUAGGACUAGCUCGGUCUCAAUCUCCUCGUUAUUUGAAGCAAAGGAAAGCUAUUCAAUUGAAGCGAGGUAUCCCGCCCCGGCUUUAUCCCUUUCUCCUUUUGUUGCUGGGAGGCUACUUAUGAGCGGAAGGGCCCAUGUGCCGCAACACAGCGCUAAAAGCCUUUCGACUCAACCCCCGAGGCUUACCUAAUGAGUUUACCUUCUUUGUCCCAACCUUUCUUCUUCAAAGAUUGUUCCAUUGGUAGAUUCCGUUGAAGAAAGAAAGAUCUUUUGGGAAAAUUUAGAAUAAUAGAUUUCCGCUCACCUCGUGUACCUAUCUAUUCCUCUUCCUCGAGCCGAGUAAGGUCUUGAAGAGCCUAGGCUAAUCCUCUCAUUCCGAUUCCGGCGUUGACUCUCUCUUUCCUGGUCUUCCUAUCUGAGAUCCCGCUCGUUCCCGUCCUUCGCUUCAGGGCCUGUCCCUCGAGUACUCAAUAUCCGCUUACUUCACUGCCUUCCUGCUUCGAGAAGACCCCUUCUUCCUCUUACUAAGCUUUUUUUUUUCCCUAAGGUAAGGAAAGAGGCCCCCCAGCUGAUUCGUACCCUAUUCCUAAACUACCCAAAGAAUUAAAAUAUUUUAGGGAUUCUAUCGCAUCAAAAGUCUCGUAUCGACUGACCUUGUAUUCCUUUAUAAUAGGUUUUGGUUAGAAGAGCUCCGGUGCUUUAGUUGCUUUGCCAGUCAUAAUAUUGACUGCUUGACUCAAUAGGAGUUCCAAGGUAGCAGCAAACAAUGCCCGCACACGCAUUUCGAUACUUUAACGCUGGGGGUUACCUUCUGGAACUUCUUUCUCGUGGAUCUAUGCUUUCGAAAGUCUCAUCCAAGGGCGAACACAGAUAAGUUGAAUCAAAGGGGAACGCUUUAGUAUUCGAUAACAGGGCUUUCGUAUUCAAUAGUUGGAGUUUCCCCUAUAUAAAUAAUUUUGAGUUGCAACAAUCUAUUCGAAGUUUAGGGUAGUAAGGGUAAGGUACAGAACCAGACCCAGAAUCAGAUACUUUUCUUGGAGAUUUUUCCUCAUGGUAGUAAGCCGCAGUACCUUCUUGUACUAACCGCACUUAGAGCAUUACUAACCCAAGGAACCAGAUAACUUAGGCUUGUUCACCCGUACCAACCUAGCUUGACUUUAUGUCGGACCGAAGCGGAGGACAGUGUAAUUGUGUAUGAGAGACUACCGAAAGGUAUGAGAUUACUAUAAACCCUCGGAUAGUCUUUUCUCUCGUAUCCUUCCUUCCCCGAUCCGCUGGUCUGGUCUUGUUAGCGCUUGUCUCUGAUAAGGGGGUCUUUGACGGCGGGUAGCCGUCCUUUAUUGUUAGAUCGAGCACCUACCAACGGGCGUACAAGCCUUGAACAUCCUUAUGUGGAAGGACAUGCCAUUUGUUCACAUCCAGAAGUUCGUAGGGGAUCUAAUGCGGAACCUUGAGGGAUUCCUCCCUGUAAGCUCAAGCGGGAGCUCGUUCACUUCUCCUCGCCAGCUAUCGCCCUCGACCCAUGCUUCUUGGUCAAUGAUCGAGUCUGUAAUGUAAAUAGGUCCUCAGGGUUCCAAGAAGGGACGGGGAAGCACGAUCUGUGAAGCGCUGAGAGUUCCGGUUCCGAUUCCGGGG